rnacentral:lncRNA from 1 species
ACUGCUCUGGGCUGUGGUCUUUGCUGCUGUUCUGGGCUGCUCUGCCUAUGGAGUAGCCCUGCUCUGUCUACGGAGCAGCCCCUCUGCUGCACACUGCUGCUCUAAUAAACUUGCUUUCUUUCACUGUUGGCUCACUCUUGAAUUCUUUCCUGAGUGAAGCCAAGAACCCUCCCAGGCUGAGCCCUGAUUUUGGGAUUCACCUGCAUCAGCCUGUUCCAGAUGGAGAAAAGUACUCAAUUUGUAUCAUAAUGCAAAAGCAAGAAAUGAACCUUUGCUGUAUUAAGUCACUGCAACGCUGGCUUUGUCCCUGCAGUAUAGCCUAUUUUAUUCUGACUAAAGUACUGUAGUAGGUGCUCAAUAAAUACUUGUUGAAUAAAUGUAAGCUGUAAUGAUCAUUCUUGUGCCCUGGAUGAGCUACCAUGUUGCUGGGUACAUAUUUAAUACUUUGGUAGAUAGCACAAACUGUCCUCCAGAAAGUUUGCAUCAUUUUUUUUGUUUGUUUUACGUUGUUUGAGACAGGGUUUCACCCUGUCACCCAGGCUGGAGUGCAGUGGCACAAUCACAGCUCACUUUAGCCUUGACCUCCUAGACUCAAGUGAUCCUCCCACUUCAGGCUCCCAAGUAGCUGGGACCACACACAUGCACCACCACAUCUGGCUAUUUUUUUUUUUUUUUUAAUUUUUUGUAAAGACGAGGUCUAGCUAUGUUGCCCAGGCUGGUCUCGAACUCCUGGGCUGAAGUUAUCCUCCCACCUUGGCCUCCUAAAGUGCUGGGAUUACAGGUGUGAGCCAUUGCACCGGGCCAGUUUGCAUUAAUCUAUACUCCCACCAACAGACAUAAUGAUAACUCACACACAGAGAUCUUGCUCUGUUCCAGGCACUAUGCUCAGUGCUUUGCACAUAUGAAAUAAAUUCAUGCCCACAACAGACCUAUGUGGUAGGUACGAUUAUUGUCCCCAUUUCACUGAUGAGGCAAUGGCAGCACUCGGAAAUUAAAUGACUUGCUCAAAGUCACACAGCUGGUAGGAAGGGGAGUGUUUUUAAAAUUACAGAUUUCCAAUAUCCUGCUUUUCAAAUGAACUGGCCAAGGUCCAGGAAUCUAUUUUAAAAAGACUCCCCAUAUGCUGCUGAUAGUCAGCCAGCUUUGGAAACCAGCUCCCUGGAGGACUUAAGUUAAAGGUGCCAAAGAGUAGGUUUCAUUUAUUUAUUUGUUUUUAAUAGAGAUGAGGUCUCGUUAUAUUGUCCAGGCUGGUCUUGAACUCCUGGGCUCAAGCAAUCCUCCCACCUUGGCUUCCCAAAGUGCUGAGAUUACAGAUGUGAGCCAUCGUGCCUGGCCCAGUUUUUGUUAUUUUUUUUAA